AAAUUGAAGAGUUUGAUCAUGGCUCAGAUUGAACGCUGGCGGCAGGCCUAACACAUGUAAGUCGAACGGUAACAGGAAGCAGCUUGCUGCUUUGCUGACGAGUGGCGGACGGGUGAGUAAUGUCUGGGAAACUGCC
rnacentral:rRNA from 1 species